UGAGGAAUAUUGGUCAAUGGGCGCGAGCCUGAACCAGCCAAGUAGCGUGCAGGAAGACGGCCCUAUGGGUUGUAAACUGCUUUUAUGCGGGGAUAAAGGAGUCCACGUGUGGAUUUUUGCAGGUACCGCAUGAAUAAGGACCGGCUAAUUCCGUGCCAGCAGCCGCGGUACUACGGAAGGUCCGGGCGUUAUCCGGAUUUAUUGGGUUUAAAGGGAGCGUAGGCCGCGUUUUAAGCGUGUAGUGAAAUGUAGACGCCCAACGUCUGCAGCGCAGCGCGAACUGGGACGCUUGAGUACGCGCAACGUUGGCGGAAUUCGUCGUGUAGCGGUGAAAGGCUUAGAUAUGACGAGGAACUCCGAUUGCGAAGGCAGCUGACGGGAGCGGCACUGACGAUUAAGCUCGAAGGUACCGGUAUCAAACAGG
rnacentral:rRNA from 1 species